rnacentral:lncRNA from 1 species
AGCUCCACCUUCUCAGAUGAGCAGCAGCGUUAGAUUCUCAUAGGAGAACGCACCCUGUUGUGAACCGUGCAUGUGAGGGAUCUAGGUUGCGCUGUCCUUAUGAGAGUCUAAUACCUAUUGAUCUGUCACUUUCUCCCAUCACGCUCAGGUGGGAACAUCCAGUUGCAGGAAAACAAGCUUAACACGCCCACUGAUUCUACAUUAUGCUCCUACCUCCCGGCAGCCUCUCCAGGCCCAGAACUUUCUCCAGUCAGCCUCUACAGACCAAGCUCAUGACUCA